AUUACCGGCUAUUAUAUAAAUACAAAAACAAAUGCACACGUUACUUUAAAAUGUUGAUGUAAUGCAAGCAUGUCAAACUCGCAGCCUGCGUGCUGAAUGGGGCCCACAAAGAAUGUCUUUGCGGCUCAGCCAAUCAGGGGGGUGCAACAAUCAUUUGUCAAACUGACAAGUGAUUUUUGCAUCGUCCUCGGCCUGUGCUUCCUGUGCCGCCAGGCAGCAUUUGGCUCCAUAAAGAAACCUCACGCACAGAACACUGGGGGGAGUACCACCCCCACCCACUCUGCAUAGGAGCGCAGGGUGUCACGUGACUACCCGUCACUCAGUAUGACAACGUACGCCAUCUAUCAACAAGGCAGCGCCAAACCUGUGCUUCCAUCACCUCUGGUGCCAGCUCUGUGAAAAACAGCUGCCUACCAGAGCAGGAGGAGGGAGAUAUAAAUGGAAGUUGUAGGAAGGGAGACAUGCGUGAGGGAGACAGGGAUGGAAGAGCGAUAGGGAGAUUUGAAUGUGAG